CUUUAAAGGGGUAAUUAAGUUAAAAUGAUGUCACUGGGUUGGCCUUGAUCCAAUCUGACUGGUGUCCUUAUCAAAGAAGGACACAGGCGCGCACAGGGACGACCAUGUGAGCGCACGGGGAGCAGGGGGCCGGCCGCGAGCCGAGGAGAGGGGCUCGGGAGGAACCAGGCCUUGCCCACCCCUUGAUCGCGGGCUUACAGCCUCGAGCACUGGGAGAAAAUAAACUUCUGUUGGCACAGUCGCCCAGCCCGUGGUACUUUGUUGAGAGCUGAGCUGCCUUCUGGAGGGGAUUUGGGACCCUUGUCGGAAGGACCUGCCUGGGCGUCCCGCAGAUGUGGCCAGGGGGCAGGGGAGGGAGAGAUGUCCCUCCAGAAACCUGGGAAGGUUCCUCUCAUAGAACCUCCACGUCCUUCCAUCUGAGUGACAGUGACUGAGGAGUGACAGUGCGGCCUCACAGAGUCUGCAGGGGCCCCGGCACCACUACUCACAUGUGGUUUUUAUGGCUCCCAAGUGGGACCUCCUUUCUCCACAAAGAGGCCCAGAGCGCCCAGGGAGGGGGGGGCCAGGUGCGGUAGGUUGUCCCCCGGGAAGGGGGGUGCCCCGCCUGUUCCCCUCGCCGUGUCGGGGCCCUCACCGCUGUGCUGAGUGGGCGGUGGGUGGUCCCGCGGAGCUCAGUGCCUCCGGGCCCCGGCCACCCUUCUCCGCAUUUGCUGCUGAACACUGGGAAUGUUCCAGUCGGGCCGCCGAGAGCACCUGUCUGAAAGCCCCCGAAGCCAGAGCCGGUGCCCUGCAAACUCUCAUCGGCUGCAGGUGGGGGCUGGGGGAGGGGUGUGUGCAGCUCCAAGUCCCGGGUCCCCACACCUUCCUUGUGAGAUUUUCCUCUUCCUCCUCUGCGGCCGUGAGCCCCCCUCGAAGGCCGGGCCACUGAACCGAGAGACUGAAUUCACAGGCCCCGUGACGGAGCCGACCCAAGCCGACACGGUGGGACCACGGCUCCGUCAGCCUGCAAACAAGGUCAGGGGCAGCGCGGGGCUGAAACUUGCUACAAACACCGGACCCUGGAGGCAUCGCGCAGCAGACACGGGCAGCCUCGGGGGGACAGGGGCCUUGUGUGGGAGCCCGGGACCCGCGUGUUAGGAGCUCUGGCACCCCCGUUAUAGGGCAAAGCAUAAGCCCAGGCCGGUGGGUUUCAUUUGAGCUGCCACCACCCCCUCCGUGUGGGUUUAUGGCUUGGGGCUGAUAUGCCUGAAGGAGAGGACAGUGCUGAGACACCCCAGCCCACUUCCCCAGGGCACUUUUUAACAACUCUGGUAAAAUGUAUCUAAAUAUGGGGGCACUUGGGUGGCUCAGUCGGUUAAGCGUCCGACCUCGGCUCAGGUCGUGAUCUCACAGUUCGUGGGUUCGAGCCCCGCAUCGGGCUCUGUGCUGACAGCUCAAGCUCGGAGCCUGCUUCGGAUUCUGUGUCUGUCUCGCUCCCUCUGCUCCUCCCCCGCUCAUGCUCUGUCUCUCUCUGUCUCUCAAAAAUAAAGUAAACGUUAAAAAAAUUUUUUUUAAAUAC
ensembl:lncRNA